rnacentral:rRNA from 1 species
UACGUAGGGGGGCGAGCGUUGUCCGGAGUUACUGGGCGUAAAGGGCAUGCAGGCGGUCGGACGCGUUUCGGGUGACAGCGGGUGGCUUAACUACCCGAGUGGUCGAAAGACGGUUUGACUUGAGGACGCGAGAGGGACACGGAAUUCCGGGUGGAGUGGUGAAAUGCGUAGAGAUCCGGAGGAACACCGAAGGCGAAGGCAGUGUCCUGGCGCGUAACUGACGCUGAGGUGCGAAAGCCAGGGGAGCGGAACGGG